rnacentral:misc_RNA from 1 species
AAAGUCGUAACAAGGUCUCCGUUGGUGAACCAGCGGAGGGAUCAUUACCGAGUUUACAAACUCCCAAACCCUUUGUGAACAUACCUUAUUGUUGCUUCGGCGGGACCGCCCCGGCGCCCUCGGGCACCGGAACCAGGCGCCCGCCGGAGACCCCAAACUCUUAUGUCUUUUGUGGUUUUCUCCUCUGAGUGACACAUAAACAAAUAAAUAAAAACUUUCAACAACGGAUCUCUUGGUUCUG